UGGGGAAUUUUGGACAAUGGGGGAAACCCUGAUCCAGCCAUCCCGCGUGUGCGAUGAAGGCCUUCGGGUUGUAAAGCACUUUUGGCAGGAAAGAAACGUCAUGGGUUAAUACCCCGUGAAACUGACGGUACCUGCAGAAUAAGCACCGGCUAACUACGUGCCAGCAGCCGCGGUAAUACGUAGGGUGCAAGCGUUAAUCGGAAUGACUGGGCGUAAAGCGUGCGCAGGCGGUUCGGAAAGAAAGAUGUGAAAUCCCAGAGCUCAACUUUGGAACUGCAUUUUUAACUACCGGGCUAGAGUGUGUCAGAGGGGGGUGGAAUUCCGCGUGUAGCAGUGAAAUGCGUGGAUAUGCGGAGGAACACCGGUGGCGAAGGCAGCCUCCUGGGAUUACACUGACGCUCAUGCACGAAAGCGUGGGGAGCAAACAGG
rnacentral:rRNA from 1 species